rnacentral:lncRNA from 10 species
GUUGGACAUGCCUAAUUUUACCUCCUGUCUUUUGGAAUUCAGGAAAAGCCAACCAACAUUCACAUCAACACAGACUUUAAGUCUGUUAAGAAACAUUUACAGUCUAUUCUCUCUGAAGUCAGCUACCUGGAGUCUUCAGCUGAAAGAUAAAACUUUGGUCUCCACAACCCCUUAUUGUAACACAGACAUUCCUUUCUACUGAUGCCAGGUGUUUAGAUAAUUUCACUCUUUCAAGCAAUUGCCAAUCACAAAAUCUUUAACUGUUCCUAUGACCUGGGAACCCCCACUUUGAGUUGUCUUGCUUUGCACAUUGAAUCAAUGUACAUCUUACAUGCAAAUAAAAUAUAACUAACAAAGAAUUCAUCUAGGCGCCCACAUCAAAGAAAGCCAGUGAACUAAGAAUAAGAGAAAUGAAGGCUCAACUCAGUAUCUCUCUCGUGGCGCCUAAACACAUUUUACAAAAAUGUUCUUUGAACCAGCAACAAACCCAGAAAACUAGAAACUGGUUUUCAUUGAUAUAAUCCUAGUUGUAGCAUAUUGCCUAACAAAAAGUAAAAGGUCAGGAAAUAUUUAUAAUAUAACAUUCCAUUCAUCAUGAUGAUCUAGGUAACAUAAGGGAAUAAGCAGGAAGCUACACAGGUCUCCGCAUAAGGUUAUAUAUGAAGAAUUGUAAUACAAAG